rnacentral:rRNA from 1 species
GACGAACGCUGGCGGCGCGCCUAACACAUGCAAGUCGAACGAGCAAGAGAGAGCUUGCUUUCUCGAGCGAGUGGCGAACGGGUGAGUAACGCGUGAGGAACCUGCCUCAAAGAGGGGGACAACAGUUGGAAACGACUGCUAAUACCGCAUAAGCCCACGGUGCCGCAUGGCACAGAGGGAAAAGGAGCAAUCCGCUUUGAGAUGGCCUCGCGUCCGAUUAGCUAGUUGGUGAGGUAAUGGCCCACCAAGGCGACGAUCGGUAGCUGGACUGAGAGGUUGAACGGCCACAUUGGGACUGAGACACGGCCCAGACUCCUACGGGAGGCAGCAGUGGGGAAUAUUGCACAAUGGGGGAAACCCUGAUGCAGCGACGCCGCGUGGAGGAAGAAGGUCUUCGGAUUGUAAACUCCUGUUGUUGGGGAAGAUAAUGACGGUACCCAACAAGGAAGUGACGGCUAACUACGUG